AUACGUAGGUGGCAAGCGUUGUCCGGAAUUAUUGGGCGUAAAGCGCGCGCAGGUGGUUCCUUAAGUCUGAUGUGAAAGCCCCCGGCUCAACCGGGGAGGGUCAUUGGAAACUGGGGAACUUGAGUGCAGAAGAGGAUAGUGGAAUUCCAAGUGUAGCGGUGAAAUGCGUAGAGAUUUGGAGGAACACCAGUGGCGAAGGCGACUGUCUGGUCUGUAACUGACACUGAGGCGCGAAAGCGUGGGGAGCAAACAGGAUUAGAUACCCUGGUAGUCCACGCCGUAAACGAUGGGUGCUAAGUGUUGGGGGGUUUCCGCCCCUCAGUGCUGCAGCUAACGCAUUAAGCACUCCGCCUGGGGAGUACGGUCGCAAGACUGAAACUCAAAUGAAUUGACGGGG
rnacentral:rRNA from 1 species